rnacentral:rRNA from 1 species
AAUCAACGCUGGCGGCGUGCCUCAGACAUGCAAGUCGAACGAUUAAACUUCCCUUCGGGGAAGAUAUAAAGUGGCGCACGGGUGAGUAACACGUAAGUAAUCUACCUUCGAGUGGGGAAUAACAUCGGGAAACCGAUGCUAAUACCGCAUAACGCAGCGGCACCUAAUGGUGACCGUUGUUAAAGGAGCAAUUCGGUUGAAGGGGAGCUUGCGUCAGAUUAGCUAGUUGGUAAGGUAAUGGCUUACCAAGGCUUCGAUCUGUAUCCGGUCUAAGAGGACGGUCGGACACACUGACACUGAAUAACGGGUCAGACUCCUACGGGAGGCAGCAGUCGGGAAUUUUGGGCAAUGGGCGAAAGCCUGACCCAGCAACGCCGCGUGAAGGAUGAAGUAUUUCGGUAUGUAAACUUCGAAAGAAUGGGAAGAACUCAAUGACGGUACCAUUUAUAAGCUCCGGCUAACUACGUGCCAGCCGCCGCCGUAACAC